rnacentral:rRNA from 1 species
GGGGCUCUGAUUUGCAUAUUGCACCACAUGUGUUUUUCUUUGAAACAAACUUGCUUUGGCGGUGGGCCCAGCCUGCCGCCAGAGGUCUAAACUUACAACCAAUUUUUUAUCAACUUGUCACACCAGAUUAUUACUAAUAGUCAAAACUUUCAACAACGGAUCUCUUGGUUCUCGCAUCGAUGAAGAACGCAGCGAAAUGCGAUACGUAAUAUGAAUUGCAGAUAUUCGUGAAUCAUCGAAUCUUUGAACGCACAUUGCGCCCUCUGGUAUUCCGGAGGGCAUGCCUGUUUGAGCGUCGUUUCUCCCUCAAACCGCUGGGUUUGGUGUUGAGCAAUACGACUUGGGUUUGCUUGAAAGACGGUAGUGGUAAGGCGGGAUCGCUUUGACAAUGGCUUAGGUCUAACCAAAAACAUUGCUUGCGGCGGUAACGUCUACCACGUAUAUCUUCAAACUUUGACCUCAAAUCAGGUAGGACUACCCGCUGAACUUAAGCAUAUCAAUAAGCGGAGGAA